rnacentral:rRNA from 1 species
GAUGAGCGCUGGCGGCGUGCCUAAUACAUGCAAGUCGAGCGAACGGACGAGAAGCUUGCUUCUCUGAUGUUAGCGGCGGACGGGUGAGUAACACGUGGAUAACCUACCUAUAAGACUGGGAUAACUUCGGGAAACCGGAGCUAAUACCGGAUAAUAUUUUGAACCGCAUGGUUCAAAAGUGAAAGACGGUCCUGCUGUCACUUAUAGAUGGAUCCGCGCUGCAUUAGAUAGUUGGUAAGGUAACGGCUUACCAAGGCAACGAUGCAUAGCCGACCUGAGAGGGGGGUCGGCCAGAGUGGGACUGAGACACGGCCCAAAAUCCUACGGGAGGGAGCAGGAGGGAAUCGGAGGCAAGGGACGAAAGUCUGACCGAGCAACGCCGCGGGAGUGAAGAAGGGUGUCGGAUCGUAAAACGCGGUUGGUAGAGAAGAAAGUUGGGGAGAGGGGAAAGCGCAUCAAGUGACGGUAACUACCCAGAAAGGGACGGCUAACUACGUG